CCUACGGGAGGCUGCAGUCGAGAAUUAUUCACAAUGGGGGAAACCCUGAUGGUGCGACGCCGCGUGGGGGAAUGAAGGUCUUCGGAUUGUAAACCCCUGUCAUGUGGGAGCAAAUUAAAAAGAUAGUACCACAAGAGGAAGAGACGGCUAACUCUGUGCCAGCAGCCGCGGUAAUACAGAGGUCUCAAGCGUUGUUCGGAACCACUGGGCGUAAGGCGUGCGGAGGCUGUUUCGUAAGUCGUGUGUGAAAGGGGAGGGCUCAACACGCGGACGGAACAUGAUAUUGCGAGACUAGGGUAAUGGAGGGGGAACCGGAAUUCUCGGUGUAGCAGUGAAAGUCGUAG
rnacentral:rRNA from 1 species